rnacentral:ncRNA from 1 species
AGUAGAUUAGUGGGGAUAGGUGCUUCGUGAAGCUUAAUUGGGAAGUCCGGUGCGAUGCCGGCACGGUCCCGCCACUGUAAAGGGGAGCCUGUUCUGCGAUAUACCACUGGGUUUAUUCCGGGAAGGUGCAGACAGCAAUGAUCCCAAGUCAGGAGACCUACCUAUUCUGACACACCGUU